CCUACGGGAGGCAGCAGUGGGGAAUAUUGGACAAUGGGCGCAAGCCUGAUCCAGCCAUACCGCGUGUGUGAAGAAGGCCUUUUGGUUGUAAAGCACUUUAAGCGAGGAGGAGGCUCUUGAGGUUAAUACCCUUGAUGAGUGGACGUUACUCGCAGAAUAAGCACCGGCUAACUCUGUGCCAGCAGCCGCGGUAAUACAGAGGGUGCGAGCGUUAAUCGGAAUUACUGGGCGUAAAGCGCGCGUAGGCGGCUUGUUAAGUCGGAUGUGAAAUCCCCGGGCUCAACCUGGGCACUGCAUUCGAUACUGGCAAGCUAGAGUAUGGGAGAGGAAGGUAGAAUUCCAGGUGUAGCGGUGAAAUGCGUAGAGAUCUGGAGGAAUACCGAUGGCGAAGGCAGCCUUCUGGCCUAAUACUGACGCUGAGGUGCGAAAGCAUGGGGAGCAAACAGGAUUAGAUACCCUGGUAGUCCAUGCCGUAAACGAUGUCAACUAGCCGUUGGGGACCUUGAGUCUUUAGUGGCGCAGCUAACGCGAUAAGUUGACCGCCUGGGGAGUACGGUCGCAAGACUAAAACUACAAAGGAAAUUAGACGG
rnacentral:rRNA from 1 species